AUCCUUCCCGCCAGAAGAAACUUAUAUUGGGGGAUCAACAACAGCUAGUGCGUUUCUCUAUAAAGCCUCAACGUAUAGGACAGAUUUCACAUGCCGAGAGGCUGUUGAGCAGGCUUCAU
rnacentral:sRNA from 1 species